GACCUACAGUACCUUUCCAAUCCACGUGGCAUUCAAACCUGCAGACCCAUAUCCAUUGGUGGUCAACAGAGAUGGGCGAUUCAAGGAAACUGGUGAAAAAGUCAAUGAAUUGAGAAACUUUGUAAUACGAGACGGACGGAAUGAAGCAAAUACUUGUUGAAAUGCCACGUCAUUGCUCUUUAUCAUAAGCUCUUUGCUGACUGUAGUAGUUUCUUGUUCAUCUACCAGAAAUCUAAUAAAGCAGUA
ensembl:ncRNA Y57G11C.1135 ncRNA